rnacentral:rRNA from 1 species
UAUACGACUCUUAACGGUGGAUAUCUCGGUUCUCGCAUCGAUGAAGAA